UACGUAGGGGGCUAGCGUUGUCCGGAAUCAUUGGGCGUAAAGCGCGCGUAGGCGGCCCGGUAAGUCCGCUGUGAAAGUCAAAGGCUCAACCUUUGAAUGUCAGCGGAUACUGCCAGGCUAGAGUCCGGAAGAGGCGAGUGGAACUCCUGGUGUAGCGGUGGAAUGCGCAGAUAUCAGGAAGAACACCUAUGGCGAAGGCAGCUCUCUGGGACGGUACUGACGCUGAGACGCGAAAGCGUGGGGAGCGAACAGG
rnacentral:rRNA from 1 species